CGAAAGGCAACCCACCAUUUUGAAUUUAGAUUUUGACAGAAAUUACUUAUUACAAUGACAGAUUAAGUGAAUGUGCUUCUGCGUUUAAAUUAUUUGUAAUUUUUGGAAACUUGACUUGAAUUGCUUUUCUGUAUGACCUUGUCAUACAUAAUGGACACUGAUUUCUCGCGAUCACGCUAAGCAAUGUAGAACCCAUCGUGUUCCCGUGAAAAUGGCUAAACCGGCGAAUAAAUCAUUUGGUUAAUGGUCAUGCGAAACUACAGUUUCUACAAAUACCGGAGCAUUUUCUGAUAAUAUUGAAAUGAAUUUAGUGCAUGUGUUCUAUUCGUAAAAUGGAGCUACAACACAGCCAUUAAUGAAGACCCAUAAAAAGAAAAAAGACAACAAUGCAUAAGAGAUCAUAAAUAAUUGGUACAAUUAUUGCAGGGACACGUAGUAGGAAUGAUAGGUGGCCCAGGGAAGAAUUGAUGAAUGGGAAACGAAAAUACAAUCGAGAUGUUUGGCUAAGGUCAUGGCAUUUUCAACUGGAUUCUUAGCUAGAGACCAUCCGUUAAGGGCACUAGAACUUUGAACAAUGGCUUUAUGAAACAGGCCACCUGCCAAGGGAGAUAAUGUCAUAAGAUGUACAAUCGCGCCUCCUGUACCACUUCCAAAUGCAGUUACAUUGUUAGGAUCACCACCGAAGUUUAAUGUUUGGGGAGGAUACUUCAAUAUAAAGACAAUCUUCAGAACCAAAGACUUCUUGAUUAACAAAGAGUGAUAGUGGUAAUGAUGCAUCUUUUGUGCAAUCUAGUAUAUUUUUCCAAGGCUUUACACAUUUGGGAGGC